ACGCUCGACACCUACGGGGCAGCAGUGGGGAAUAUUGCACAAUGGGGGAAACCCUGAUGCAGCGACGCCGCGUGAGCGAAGAAGUAUUUCGGUAUGUAAAGCUCUAUCAGCAGGGAAGAAACUGACGGUACCUGACUAAGAAGCACCGGCUAAAUACGUGCCAGNCGCGAGUAUGNGNGGCGNGNGAGAG
rnacentral:rRNA from 1 species